rnacentral:rRNA from 1 species
UCAUCUUCGGGGGUAGAGCACUGUUUCGGCUAGGGGGUCAUCCCGACUUACCAACCCGAUGCAAACUACGAAUACCGAAGAAUGUUAUCACGGGAGACACACGGCGGGUGCUAACGUCCGUCGUGAAGAGGGAAACAACCCAGACCGCCAGCUAAGGUCCCAAAGUCAUGGUUAAGUGGGAAACGAUGUGGGAAGGCACAGACAGCCAGGAUGUUGGCUUAGAAGCAGCCAUCAUUUAAAGAAAGCGUAAUAGCUCACUGGUCGAGUCGGCCUGCGCGGAAGAUGUAACGGGGCUAAACCAUGCACCGAAGCUGCGGCAGCGACACUAUGUGUUGUUGGGUAGGGGAGCGUUCUGUAAGCCUGCGAAGGUGUGCUGUGAGGCAUGCUGGAGGUAUCAGAAGUGCGAAUGCUGACAUAAGUAACGAUAAAGCGGGUGAAAAGCCCGCUCGCCGGAAGACCAAGGGUUCCUGUCCAACGUUAAUCGGGGCAGGGUGAGUCGACCCCUAAGGCGAGGCCGAAAGGCGUAGUCGAUGGGAAACAGGUUAAUAUUCCUGUACUUGGUGUUACUGCGAAGGGGGGACGGAGAAGGCUAUGUUAGCCGGGCGACGGUUGUCCCGGUUUAAGCAUGUAGGCUGGUUGUCCAGGCAAAUCCGGAUAA